ACUAAGCGUACACGGUGGAUGCCCUGGCAGUCAGAGGCGAUGAAGGACGUGCUAAUCUGCGAAAAGCGUCGGUAAGGUGAUAUGAACCGUUAUAACCGGCGAUGUCCGAAUGGGGAAACCCAGUGCAAUUCGUUGCACUAUCGUUAACUGAAUACAUAGGUUAACGAGGCGAACCGGGGGAACUGAAACAUCUAAGUACCCCGAGGAAAAGAAAUCAACCGAGAUUCCCCCAGUAGCGGCGAGCGAACGGGGAGCAGCCCAGAGUCUGAAUCAGCUUGUGUGUUAGUGGAACGGUCUGGAAAGUCCGACGGUACAGGGUGAUAGUCCCGUACACCAAAAUGCACAGGCUGUGAACUCGAAGAGUAGGGCGGGACACGUGGUAUCCUGUCUGAAUAUGGGGGGACCAUCCUCCAAGGCUAAAUACUCCUGACUGACCGAUAGUGAACCAGUACCGUGAGGGAAAGGCGAAAAGAACCCCGGCGAGGGGAGUGAAAAAGAACCUGAAACCGUGUACGUACAAGCAGUGGGAGCACCUUCGGGUGUGACUGCGUACCUUUUGUAUAAUGGGUCAGCGACUUAUAUUCUGUAGCAAGGUUAACCGUAUAGGGGAGCCGCAGGGAAACCGAGUCUUAACUGGGCGUUAAGUUGCAGGGUAUAGACCCGAAACCCGGUGAUCUAGCCAUGGGCAGGUUGAAGGUUGGGUAACACUAACUGGAGGACCGAACCGACUAAUGUUGAAAAAUUAGCGGAUGACUUGUGGCUGGGGGUGAAAGGCCAAUCAAACCGGGAGAUAGCUGGUUCUCCCCGAAAGCUAUUUAGGUAGCGCCUCGUGAACUCAUCUUCGGGGGUAGAGCACUGUUUCGGCUAGGGGGUCAUCCCGACUUACCAACCCGAUGCAAACUACGAAUACCGAAGAAUGUUAUCACGGGAGACACACGGCGGGUGCUAACGUCCGUCGUGAAGAGGGAAACAACCCAGACCGCCAGCUAAGGUCCCAAAGUCAUGGUUAAGUGGGAAACGAUGUGGGAAGGCACAGACAGCCAGGAUGUUGGCUUAGAAGCAGCCAUCAUUUAAAGAAAGCGUAAUAGCUCACUGGUCGAGUCGGCCUGCGCGGAAGAUGUAACGGGGCUAAACCAUGCACCGAAGCUGCGGCAGCGACACUAUGUGUUGUUGGGUAGGGGAGCGUUCUGUAAGCCUGCGAAGGUGUGCUGUGAGGCAUGCUGGAGGUAUCAGAAGUGCGAAUGCUGACAUAAGUAACGAUAAAGCGGGUGAAAAGCCCGCUCGCCGGAAGACCAAGGGUUCCUGUCCAACGUUAAUCGGGGCAGGGUGAGUCGACCCCUAAGGCGAGGCCGAAAGGCGUAGUCGAUGGGAAACAGGUUAAUAUUCCUGUACUUGGUGUUACUGCGAAGGGGGGACGGAGAAGGCUAUGUUAGCCGGGCGACGGUUGUCCCGGUUUAAGCAUGUAGGCUGGUUAUCCAGGCAAAUCCGGAUAAUCAAGGCUGAGGUGUGAUGACGAGGCACUACGGUGCUGAAGUAACAAAUGCCCUGCUUCCAGGAAAAGCCUCUAAGCAUCAGGUAACAUCAAAUCGUACCCCAAACCGACACAGGUGGUCAGGUAGAGAAUACCAAGGCGCUUGAGAGAACUCGGGUGAAGGAACUAGGCAAAAUGGUGCCGUAACUUCGGGAGAAGGCACGCUGGUGUGUAGGUGAAGUCCCUGCGGAUGGAGCUGAGACCAGUCGAAGAUACCAGCUGGCUGCAACUGUUUAUUAAAAACACAGCACUGUGCAAACACGAAAGUGGACGUAUACGGUGUGACGCCUGCCCGGUGCCGGAAGGUUAAUUGAUGGGGUUAUCCGUAAGGAGAAGCUCUUGAUCGAAGCCCCGGUAAACGGCGGCCGUAACUAUAACGGUCCUAAGGUAGCGAAAUUCCUUGUCGGGUAAGUUCCGACCUGCACGAAUGGCGUAAUGAUGGCCAGGCUGUCUCCACCCGAGACUCAGUGAAAUUGAACUCGCUGUGAAGAUGCAGUGUACCCGCGGCAAGACGGAAAGACCCCGUGAACCUUUACUAUAGCUUGACACUGAACAUUGAGCCUUGAUGUGUAGGAUAGGUGGGAGGCUUUGAAGCGUGGACGCCAGUCUGCGUGGAGCCAACCUUGAAAUACCACCCUUUAAUGUUUGAUGUUCUAACGUUGGCCCCUGACCGGGGUUGCGGACAGUGUCUGGUGGGUAGUUUGACUGGGGCGGUCUCCUCCCAAAGCGUAACGGAGGAGCACGAAGGUUAGCUAAUCCUGGUCGGACAUCAGGAGGUUAGUGCAAUGGCAUAAGCUAGCUUGACUGCGAGCGUGACGGCGCGAGCAGGUGCGAAAGCAGGUCAUAGUGAUCCGGUGGUUCUGAAUGGAAGGGCCAUCGCUCAACGGAUAAAAGGUACUCCGGGGAUAACAGGCUGAUACCGCCCAAGAGUUCAUAUCGACGGCGGUGUUUGGCACCUCGAUGUCGGCUCAUCACAUCCUGGGGCUGAAGUAGGUCCCAAGGGUAUGGCUGUUCGCCAUUUAAAGUGGUACGCGAGCUGGGUUUAGAACGUCGUGAGACAGUUCGGUCCCUAUCUGCCGUGGGCGCUGGAGAAUUGAGGGGGGCUGCUCCUAGUACGAGAGGACCGGAGUGGACGCAUCACUGGUGUUCGGGUUGUCAUGCCAAUGGCACUGCCCGGUAGCUAAAUGCGGAAGAGAUAAGUGCUGAAAGCAUCUAAGCACGAAACUUGCCCCGAGAUGAGUUCUCCCUGAGACUUUAAGUCUCCUGAAGGAACGUUAAAGACGAUGACGUUGAUAGGCCGGGUGUGUAAGCGCAGCGAUGCGUUGAGCUAACCGGUACUAAUGAACCGUGAGGCUUAACC
rnacentral:rRNA from 1 species